UACGUAGGGUGCAAGCGUUGUCCGGAAUUAUUGGGCGUAAAGAGCUCGUAGGCGGCUUGUCGCGUCGUCCGUGAAACCAGGGGCUCAACCCCUGGCUUGCGGUCGAUACGGGCAGGCUAGAGUUCGGUAGGGGAGACUGGAAUUCCUGGUGUAGCGGUGAAAUGCGCAGAUAUCAGGAGGAACACCGGUGGCGAAGGCGGGUCUCUGGGCCGAUACUGACGUGAGGAGCGAAAGCGUGGGGAGCGAACAGG
rnacentral:rRNA from 1 species